GGUUAAGCGACUAAGCGUACACGGUGGAUGCCCUGGCAGUCAGAGGCGAUGAAGGACGUGCUAAUCUGCGAAAAGCGUCGGUAAGGUGAUAUGAACCGUUAUAACCGGCGAUGUCCGAAUGGGGAAACCCAGUGCAAUUCGUUGCACUAUCGUUAACUGAAUACAUAGGUUAACGAGGCGAACCGGGGGAACUGAAACAUCUAAGUACCCCGAGGAAAAGAAAUCAACCGAGAUUCCCCCAGUAGCGGCGAGCGAACGGGGAGCAGCCCAGAGUCUGAAUCAGCUUGUGUGUUAGUGGAACGGUCUGGAAAGUCCGACGGUACAGGGUGAUAGUCCCGUACACCAAAAUGCACAGGUUGUGAACUCGAAGAGUAGGGCGGGACACGUGGUAUCCUGUCUGAAUAUGGGGGGACCAUCCUCCAAGGCUAAAUACUCCUG
rnacentral:rRNA from 1 species